UGAAACCAAAGUUUGAGGACAGCUGGUCUAAAAUGUGAGUUUUAUAUUCCUCCAGUAUUAUGCUAAAAGGUUUUCCAUAAAAUCUUAGAAACUACAUAUAUGUAUGUAUAUGUUUAUACACACACACACAGGAUAGAUGACCGAUAGAUAGAUGCUCUUUUUUUUAGUAAGGUAUGUCUCCAGAUCUGAGAGAACCAGGAAUAAUAUUUCUCUUUCUGCAGCUUCAAUGAUGUAAAAGAUUAUAUUCAGGAAUAUUUGACCCUGUUAAAAAAGAAAGCAUUCAUAAUUGAAGAUAAAACUGAACUGUACAUGCUCUUCAUCAACUGCCUGGAGGAUUCAAUACAUGAGAAGACCAGUGCUUGCUCCAGAAAUGAUGAACUGAACCACCUAAGAGAGGAACGUCGUUUCCUUAAGAUGUAUUCUCAAGGAAGACGUGGCCGAGAGCCUGCCAACGAGGCCUCGGUUGAAUACCUGCAAGAGGUGGCCCGGAUCCGCCUCUGCCUCGACAGAGCUGCCGAUUUCCUCUCAGAGCCUGAGGAGGGCCCAGAGAUGGCCGAGGAGAAGCAGUGCUACCUGCGGCAAGUCAAGCACUUCUGUAUCUGGGUGGAGAACGACUGGCACCGGGUGUACCUGGUGCGGAAGCUCAGCAGCCAGCGGGGGAUGGAGUUCGUGCAGGGCCUCUCCAAGCCCGGCCACCCGCACCAGUGGGUGUUUCCCAAGGACGUUGUCAAGCAGCAGGGGCUGCAGCAGGACCACCCAGGCCAGAUGGAUAGGUACCUGGUGUACGGCGAUGAAUACAAGGCUCUCCGUGAUGCUGUGGCCAAAGCUGUCCUCGAGUGCAAGCCGCUGGGCAUUGAGACUGCUCUGAAGGCCUGCAAGACCCCCCAAAACCGGCAGUCAGCCUGCUUCCUGCUAACACUGUUUAGAGAGGUGGCUGUCUUGUACAGGUCCCACAGUGCGAGCCUCCACCCCACGCCAGAGCAACGUGAAGCUGUGAGCAAAUUCAUUGGCGAAUGCAAGAUCCUUUCACCUCCUGAUAUCAGCCAUUUUGCAACAUCGCUCGUGGACAAUUCUCUGCCAUUGUUGAGGGCGGGCCCCAGUGACAGCAACCUUGACGGAACGGUGACAGAAAUGGCCAUUCAUGCUGCAGCCGUCCUUCUGUGUGGACAGAAUAAACUCUUGGAGCCCCUAAAGAAUCUGGCCUUCUCCCCAGCCAACAUGGCGCAUGCUUUUCUUCCAACCAUGCCUGAAGACUUGCUGGCUCAAGCUCGGAGGUGGAAGGGUCUGGAGGGAGUCCACUGGUACACUUGUCCCAACGGCCAUCCUUGCUCCGUGGGAGAGUGCGGCAAGCCGAUGGAACAGAGCACCUGCAUUGACUGCCAUGCGCCGAUUGGAGGCAUUAACCACAAACCUCGGGACGGCUUUCGUCUGGUCAAUGACAGGGCAGACAGAACACAGACCGGCCAUGUGCUAGGCGACCCGCAGCAGAGAGACGUGGUGACAUGUGACCGAGGGCUGCCCCCAGUGGUCUUCAUCCUCAUCCGGCUACUCACUCACUUGGCUCUGCUUCUGGGAGCUUCCCAGAGUUCCCAGGCUCUGAUAAACAUCAUUAAGCCUCUAGCGAGGGAUCCAAAAGGCUUUCUGCAGCAGCACAUCCUGAAGGACCUGGAGCAGUUGGCCAAGAUGCUGGGACACAGUGCCGACGAGACCAUCACCGUGGUCCACCUUGUUCUGCGCAGGCUUCUCCAAGGGCAGCACCAGCUCUCUAGCAAAAGUGAGGAAAGGGGCAAGGGCUGGGCGGGGAUCACACAGCACAACGGCAGCACAGGCAGGCUCGCUGUCUUGUGGGCCACCCCACAUGCAGCCAGUCUGAGCUCUGUCUGUGCUGUUGCUGGAAAGAAUGAGAGAACACACAGAGAGAAAACCGUAUCUAGGGAAAGCGAUGCCUGGAGCUGGAAAAAGGAAGCACUUUGCUUGCUCAGAGGCUGGAAGGAGCUGCUCUGUUCCCUCCAUUCACCCCUGCCUGGCUAAGACCUGCGGUAUUCGGGAGCGUCUGCACACAAGUGUUCAGUGUGCAUAUAUGGGGAGUCUUCAGUUCUGAAGUCAGCCCCAUAGGUCAUUCCCCUACCAUGCUGGGAGCACGUGUCGUCCACACAGAGCGUGUGUGUCAAAGGAUCAGUUACCAUCACAGUUGUGUGAUUAUAUGUCCACAGUUAUGUUAAAAAAAAAAAAAAGCUAUAAAAUAUUGUAUUCACUGAGCUAAUUUUCUAUUUUAAAAAUUUAAAUCCAUACAGAAAGAAAAGGUCUGUAAAACAACUUAGUAAAAUGGUUAUCUGUGAGUGGUGGAAUUAAAAGUGAUUUUCCUUUGCUAAUCUGCAAAAAUAACAAUUACCAUUGUGAGAGCAAUGUUAAUUUAAAAGAAUAACAAUAAUAGCAAUAAGAAGUCCUGCCCCAGGACAAGAAAAUCUGCUCCCACCUCAGGUACUUCUUUGCCCGAAACUGGCAUUCCUAUUUAUUUUCCAUUUUGAACAAUCUGAUUUUAUUUUAAGCCUCUUAUUCUGGUGGGAUUUCAGCAAGGUGAGCGCACCCACAGUCACACUGAUGAAAUGACAGAAUCCUGGAAGCAGGUGGACAGUUCCCGCAGCACUCCGCAUCUGUGUGGUCUGCCUCAGGGUUUGGGUGGCAGCAGCUGAGAUGGCUGGCGGUAGCCCAGGCCACUCUUAUUAUUCCCUGGGCUUUGGAGCUUAAGUUCUGUUCUUUCAGUAAUUUUUUUCAAAAUGGUUCUAAGAUUACAAUUAUGUAGGGUAGAGAAAUUUUUAGAGAUUGAUGUUAUUUUCAAAGGAUCAUUAAGUUGGUGGUAACAACAGGAACUAUUUCAAAAUACUUAGAUUAAUUUAGAAAGCUAUUACCUCAAAACGAGUGUUAUUUCUAUUAAACACUUAUUUAGGGUUUAUUAUACGCAGACUGCUGUGUUCUUUGUGCCUUGGGUAACCUACACAUUUGGAGUUUUUUUGUAGGGCUUUUAAAUUUUGACACAAGAUUGUCAACUAAAGAAAUGAGGAACAACUGGGAAAAGGAAAUCGCAGCUGUGAUUUCUCCUGAACUGGAGCAUCUAGAUAAAACCCUUCCCACCAUGAAUAAUCUCAUCAGCCAAGAUAAGCGUAUCAGCUCUAACCCUGUGGCCAAAAUAAUAUAUGGUGACCCAGUGACCUUCCUGCCCCACCUGCCCCAGAAGAGUGUGGUCCAUUGCUCUAAGAUUUGGAGCUGCAGGAAAAGAAUUACAGUUGAGUACCUCCAGCACAUUGUGGAACAGAAAAACGGCAAAGAAAGAGUGCCCAUCCUCUGGCGUUUCCUGCAGAAGGAAGCAGAGCUGAGGCUGGUAAAGUUCCUGCCUGAGAUUUUGGCCUUGCAAAGGGGUCUAGUGAAGCAGUUCCAGAACGUCCCGCAAGUUGAAUACAACUCCAUCAGAGGCUUCCUCAGCAAGCACAGCUCAGGUGGGUUGAGGCGGCUACUUCAGAACAGAAUCACAGUCUUUCUGUCGACAUGGAACAAACUGAGGAGAUCACUUGAGAUGAACGGCGAGAUCAACCUACCCAAAGCCUACUGCAGCACUGACUUGGAUCUGGAUGCUGAUUUUGAGAUCCUCUUGCCACGCCGACGGGGCCUGGGCCUCUGUGCUACCGCUCUCGUCAGCUACUUGAUUCGCCUACACAAUGAAAUUGUCUACGCCGUGGAAAAACUCCCGGAGGGAAACAACAGCUAUUCCGUGGAUGCCACCGAGGUCACUGACCUGCAUGUCAUCAGUUACGAAGUGGAGCGGGACCUGACUCCACUGAUUCUCUCCAACUGCCAGUACCAGGUGGAGCAGGGCAGAGAGACCCUGCAGGAGUUCGAUCUGGAGAAGAUUCAGCAGCAGAUCGUCAGCCGCUUCAUCCAGGGCAAGCCCCGGCUGAGCCUCAAGGGAAUACCCACUCUGGUCUACAGACACGACCGGAACUAUGAACAUCUCUUUAUGGACAUCAAGAACAAAAUGGCGCAGGACUCCCUCCCCAGCUCGGUCAUUAGUGCCAUCAGUGGACAGCUGCAGUCCUACAGCGAUGCCUGUGAAGCGCUGUCUGUCGUAGAAGUCACUCUGGGGUUUCUGAGCACAGCUGGUGGGGAUCCAAACAUGCACCUGAAUGUGUAUACUCAAGACAUCCUGCAAAUGGGUGAUCAGACGACUCACGUGUUAAAGGCGUUAAACAGAUGCCAGUUAAAACACACCAUUGCCCUCUGGCAGUUCCUAUCUGCUCAUAAGUCUGAACAGCUGCUGCGGCUGCAGAAAGAGCCAUUUGGGGAAAUCAGUUCAAGGUACAAAGUGGAUCUGAGUUCGGAAAAUGCUAAGCUCCUCAGCACAUUCCUAAAUCAGAUUGGCCUAGACGCCUUCCUGCUAGAGCUGCACGAAAUGAUAAUCUUGAAACUAAAGAACCCCCAAACCGAGGGGAGCUUCAACCAUGAGUGGAGCCUGAGAGACACUCUCAUAAGUUACAUGGAAACUAAAGAAAGUGAAAUUCUUCCUGAAAUGGAAUCUCAGUUCCCAGAAGAGAUACUGCUCGCCAACUGUGUCUCAGUGUGGAAAACAGCUGCUGUGCUGAAACGGAAUCGACAAAUCAGAUAGAAUUAUUUCUUCAGCUAUCUUUGGAUGACUUUGGAGAGAAGACUCUCCUCGUCUGCGGCGUGGACUUCAUCACGUACUGGUGCCUUUGCAUUCAGAAGGAGAGCUGUCAGCAUAGCACCAAAUUCAAGACCAAAGCGUGCUACCUGAGCUGACAGCUUUUUCAAAGCUGAGCUGUUUCUGAACCAUGUAUAUACAUGUUCUGAAACUUUCUCAUCAUGAGUACUGUUCACUGGGAGAUAACAAUGAAGAUUAGAUGAAAUUGGAAAUAAACCAACAUUGUUUACAUUCCAGGAGUCAUAUAGCUCAGCCACACACGCAGUAAUGAUCUGUGCACGCUCGCCUCUGGCACUGCCCACCCCUCUUUUUUUUUUUUUUCUUCUAAUUCUGUACUCACAAAAGAGAAUCUCAUUUUCUUCUUUCUUCCAUUCCCUUAAAUUCUGAGUAUUGUACAUAUAUUUCUGGGUUCCCAAGAUGAUGUGAAAAACUACCAGACUGUUUUUUGUCUUCUCACAAAAACAAGAAAAAUCAGGGCAUUUUGUGAGUGCCUUAAGAUCAAACUAACAAGAUCUGACCCUCACCCUCACAAUGAGUCACUGCCCCACUUCAGAGGGUAAGAGCCAAAAGCCUCAUUGUGAAAAGCACUGGACUUGGACCAGAGACACCAUCAGGGCCUUGGUUUUCUCAUGCAUAAAAUGGAGAGUGGAUUAAUCGCCAAAGAUUCUUCCGAUCUGAUAUUUUGAAAUUAUAAGAGAAACGAGAUGACUGUAAACUUGGUCACAGGCCUGGUUCCGGCAGUUCUUUGCGGACUUUUUUCUAGCGUUAUGCCAAAUAAACAUGCAGUCUCAGUGUGCUCUAGCAUGUAUGAAUAUCUAGUCCUUUCUGUGGUUCUCAGCCAAGACAUAAAAACUAGGACUCAGAGUGCAUACAAAACCAGUUACGUUUCGGAAAGAGGGAAAAGAGUCCCCGAGCCCGAAUCUUGUGCUGCUUUUCUCACUGAAGUGUUGCCUUUUUUCUUUCCAAAAUCUGCUUUGAUACUUAGGACCUCUCUGGACUAACUUCUCUUCCUAGACAGCUCAGCACAGCUAUUGAUAUGUUAGAGGCAGUAUCCUUAAUAUUCAUUCUAAAUGAGUUAAUGACUUAACUUGAAAUUGGGCCUAAGGAGUGAGAGCUACAAAAAUACAAAAUGCUUAUCCAGGACUCAGCCAUGCACACCUUGAGCAGCGCUGGCAGGAGCCACGGAAGGAACUGUGCUCCGUUCUCCUCACUGUGAUGGUGCCGCCACAGCGUCUGACGAAGGGAGAGUGACCCAGACUGCAGGCAGUAACUGACUUCACACAGUCCCUGGCAUUUAGUCAUCUGUGAUUGUUUUAUCACUCUGGACUGUGCAGAGCCACCUGCCACCGAGAUCUGCAUUCCGACUGCCUAUGAACGGGUGUGGGGGCCGGGGGCCAGCUUGCUGAAGUCUUCAACUUGCACUCGGAGCUCCUUUGAUACCUCAGAGCUGGCCGUCAGGUGGCAGCUCACACCCAGACUCACUGGCCACACCUCAGCAGGACCCAGACUCACUGGCCACACCUCAGCAGGACCCAGACUCACUGGCCACACCUCAGCAGGGGGGAGUCGAGUGUCAGUCUCUUGCUGUGAAGGCUUUUUUUUUCCUUUGGCCUGGGAAUUUUUCCCAUUUUUAUGAAGAAGUUUUAAAUUGUUUCAUUUUGUGUGCUGUGCUUCAAAGCCUUAACUGUCAAAUCUUGCAUUAUCUUGUUUGUACAGAAAUAUACUGGCCUAGCAGAGGCAAAAAAAAAAAAA
rnacentral:sRNA from 1 species